ACUAAGGACUAAAUAUAUGGCAAGAGUCACCCAGGAAAUGCUAGAGUUAAAUUGUUGGGACCCGAAAGAUGUUGAACUAUGCUUGUGGUGUUUGAAGCCGAAGGAAACUUUGGUGGAAGGACUUAGGAGUGUUAACGUGCAAAUUACUUGCAAUAUAUGAGUAUAGGGGCGAAAGACUAAUCGAACUAUCUAGUAGCUGGUUCCACCUGAAUAUUCCCUUAGGAAGGUUGAAGUAAGAAAGUAGUGACGAUUGGUAAAGAUAAUGAUUGGAUGUAAUGGAGAGCUUGACUUUUCAACAUUUUAACAAACUAUGAAUAGUCGAGAUAUUCUAAACGAUACUAAUUUAUUAGGAAUGAGCAUAUGCGGACUUCAAAUCGGCCAAGUCUAAUAAGCAAGACUGGCGAUGCGGGAUGAACCGAACAUACAGAUAAUGUAUCCAAGUCUUGCAUGAGGAGAACUAUAAAAGGGUUCAUUCACAUUGAAUCCAGGUUGAUGGCCAUGGAAGUUGGAAAUCGCUAAGGAGUGUGUAACAACUCACUUAUCGAAUGGAUGAGCCCAGAAAAUGGAAAGUAUUUUAAUGAGAGAGAGUGAUACUGUAUCCUUGUUGAAUCUGAGGCACAUGAGGAGUAAGGAAAUGCAUGGUGUCAAGAAUACUUGAGUGAUAAAGGUAGAGAAGUAAUUUCUAUUGGAACAGACUUGAGUACAGAUCUUGGU
rnacentral:ncRNA from 1 species